UACGGAGGGUGCGAGCGUUGUCCGGAAUCACUGGGCGUAAAGGGCGCGUAGGCGGCCUGAUAAGUAGGGGGUGAAAUCCUGCGGCUUAACCGCAGGGCUGCCUUCUAAACUGUCAGGCUGGAGCACAGUAGAGGCAGGUGGAAUUCCCGGUGUAGCGGUGGAAUGCGUAGAUAUCGGGAGGAACACCAGUGGCGAAGGCGGUUGCCUGGAGCUUUGCUGACGCUGAGGCGCGAAAGCGUGGAGAGCGAUCCGG
rnacentral:rRNA from 1 species